rnacentral:rRNA from 1 species
UUAGCCUACGGGGCGCAGCAGUGGGGAAUAUUGCACAAUGGGGGAAACCCUGAUGCAGCGACGCCGCGUGAAGGACGAAGUAUUUCGGUACGUAAACUUCUAUCAGCAGGGAAGAAAAUGACGGUACCUGACCAAGAAGCCCCGGCUAACUACGUGCCAGCAGCCGCGGUAAUACGUAGGGGGCAAGCGUUAUCCGGAAUUACUGGUUGUAAAGGGAGCGUAGACGGUUAAGUAAGUCUGGAGUGAAAGGCCGGGGCUCAACCC